UGGCUCGGUGGUUAAGAGCACUGGUUGCUCUUCCAGAGGACCUGGGUUCAAUUCCCAG
rnacentral:tRNA from 1 species